rnacentral:rRNA from 1 species
AUUGAACGCUGGCGGCAUGCCUUACACAUGCAAGUCGAACGGUAACGGGCCUUCGGGUGCCGACGAGUGGCGAACGGGUGAGUAAUACAUCGGAACGUGCCCGAUCGUGGGGGAUAACGAGGCGAAAGCUUUGCUAAUACCGCAUACGAUCUACGGAUGAAAGCAGGGGGCCGCAAGGCCUUGCGCGGACGGAGCGGCCGCUGGCAGAUUAGGUAGUUGGUGGGAUAAAAGCUUACCAAGCCGACGAUCCGUAGCUGGUCUGAGAGGAUGAUCAGCCACACUGGGACUGAGACACGGCCCAGACUCCUACGGGAGGCAGCAGUGGGGAAUUUUGGACAAUGGGCGCAAGCCUGAUCCAGCCAUGCCGCGUGCAGGAUGAAGGCCUUCGGGUUGUAAACUGCUUUUGUACGGAACGAAAAGCCUUCUUUUAAUACAGGAGGGUCAUGACGGUACCGUAAGAAUAAGCACCGGCUAACUACGUG